rnacentral:rRNA from 1 species
UACGUAGGUGACAAGCGUUGUCCGGAUUUACUGGGCGUAAAGAGCGCGCAGGCGGUCGAUCAAGUCGAGUGUGAAAGCCCCCGGCUCAACUGGGGAGGGUCAUUCGAUACUGAUCGACUCGAAGGCAGGAGAGGGUAGUGGAAUUCCCGGUGUAGUGGUGAAAUGCGCAGAUAUCAGGAGGAACACCGGUGGCGAAGGCGGCCACCUGGACGGUAACUGACGCUGAGACGCGAAAGCGUGGGGAGCAAACAGG